ACAGAGGAUUAAGUAUCACAUGGUUUCUCUUUCAUGAGAAAUCCGAAAUAUGAAUCUUCUAAAGAGCAAAAUAAAGGAGAGACGAUGGGAACUGCCACAGAGGAGCUCACUCAGUAAAAGUGGAUCUAAAGUAAAUCAGGAGCAAACUGUGUGUAUCUGUCCUGGGUGUGAGUUUGCACCAACAUCUACAGCAGUGAAAUUAUGAUUUGAGUGGCGCAAGAGGGAACCAGAUCACAACUCACGGAGCCCGAAGUUCUGCAGCCCAGAGAGACCCAGAGUCUCCAACUGCCUUCAAGUGAGGUCAGAGGAGAGGUGUCCUCUUUGUGGACUCCGGUAUUGCCUGAGUUUAUUAUUUUUUUUUCAAGUCCUGGAUAUCAAACCCAGAGCCUCGGCAGUGAACUACACCCUCACCCUCUCUACUUUCAGUCUCACGAGGUUGCCCAGGUUGGGUUCAAACCUGCAUUCCAGGUCCUGCCUCAGCCUCCCAGAGUGCUGGGAUUACGGGCAUGAGCCAGUGAGCCUAAAUUUAAAGUACACAUUUUUCCCUUCUACAGGUGCUUUGGGCAAAGGUCUAUUUGGUGCUACCAACUUAGGAGAGCUUCAAAUGAACCCAUCUUUUAAUAUUUAAUAGUGGACUCCAAGACAGCCGAGGACCCCAGGAGGUUAGGCUGAAUGGUCAUUGUCAUUUGCCUGGGACUGAGGGUUUUCCUAGGAUUUUUACGGUUAAAACCAGGAUGAGCAGUCACCCUGCAGCAGAAUAACUUGGAGGUAAUGUUUUUCUUAAGUAAUAUUUGCAUUUCUUGGUAAUUUUUGAGUGCACACAGCCCUGAAUCAGCCAUACUAUUUUCCCAAGGAGGAAUCAGUUGUAUUGAAGAUGGUGGUAGGAAGGUGGGGAACCCUCCACUGGGAGCUGGAGGCUGCACUCAGCACAACUCAACCCCCACUAAGGAUAUCCAAGGAGGAAGGGAGAUGGGAUUCAGUGAUCAAACCAUUUUCCUUGUGAUUAUGGCUGAGCCCCAUGAGUUAAGGUUAGUGCUCCAUUGCUAACCAUCUCGGAGGUCAGAUGUCUUGACUCUUUCAAUUAACUUAAUUAGCCUUUUUCCUGGUGUGUCUGCAACACUUCUUCGUGUCCACCUGUGGAAAUCUUAUGGGCUAAAGUCAGUCAUUCCCUGCUCUGGAAGCCCACCAUCAGCUCUGCGGAGAUUUAGUCAGCCUUCUGUGGGACUCUGGAGUAUGUCUAUGGGAUCCCAUCCCAAGAUCCGAUUUUGACUUGAGAUCCCUAAGCACACUUCUGUCCAGGAAGCCAGAGGAAUGCGCAGGUCUCCGUUCUGGCCGGCAGAGUUGGAAAGAACUGGCAUGGACACACACUUCUCUCUGGUUCACCUGAGUUCCCAGGGCUUCUCCAAGACGAAGACGACGGCAGCAAACCGGUCACACCCCGCGCCGCCCCUGGGGGCUCUGGGAGCUGGCGGCGCCUUCUGCAGUGCUAAUAAUGUCCUAAGAAUGAACCCUUCAUAAGGAGCGCCACACUUAAUACCACCCAAGAGGACUGUAUCCAAAAGGAAAAAAAACCUUUUGGUUUCUUUCCCAUCACCCUUCAAGGUUGUCUAGGUCCCUGUCCACACUGGCGUGAGAACUGAGAGAACUCGAGAAAAAUUGUUUCCUUUUUUGGGAAAUUAUUCUUAGGAAACAGAUCUCUUUCGAAAGUUGGUGCUUUUGAAGAUUUCUGCCCAGUCCUCAAAUGUUUUCUCAGGACUUCAGGGAAAAAUACACAUUUUAGAUGCAUGUUUUUAUCCAAAUUUGACACGUUGAGUCUUCCUUAAAUGCAGGAGAGGAAAGAGGAAAGAGAAAGAAAAGAAAGAAGAGAGGAGGGAGGAGGAAAGGAAAGGAAAUGUAUCAUAUAUUCAUGUUUGUUUAUGUUAGGCUUACGGGUUACUACCCUUGACCAUCUUUGAUGGCAGAUUGAUUGGUGAUGUUAUUUAAUGUAAUUUCACACAGUAAAUUUCAGAUAUUCCUCCUAAAACCCAGACCGUGAAGCAGGAUUUACUGACAGGGUGGGAGAGAGAUUGGGUGACAAAAUAUUUACUUGCAGGAUUAAAAUUGUUCCCUAUUUCCUCGACUUGGCCUCAGAAAUUUCCAGAAGGACCUGGCCAGAUCAUUCUGUUCCUGAAACAUCCACACCGAAGUCUGUCACUCGUGACAGGUCUCAGAGGAUUCUUCCAGAACUUUCCUGAGCUCCAGGCUGCCCCCUGGUCAUGCAGUCAUUGUGCUUCACCUCCUUGGGCAUUUUCCUGUCAGGGACUGAUUUCCUUCUGUCAGCAUGAACGAACAUCAGCUCUUUCGUGGACGGCUCAGCCAGAGUUAUCGAGGUGUGACUGUAAUUCCCACUGUGUGUCCCUGGAUGCUCAAAGAAUUCCAUGUCCAUGCCCACGAAACACUGGAGAAAAUUGCGGGACAGUGGGGUGUGCGGAGGGAGCAGAGCUAUUUGUUCUGUGGCUCGAUGAUUUUGGACAAAUCGCUGGCCCUCUCUGGCUUCCAUUUCCUGGCCCUCAAAAGAUGAAUAAUCAUGCUUGUAUCUUGAUCCAAACAUCAAAUUGAUGCUUUUAAAGGAGUUUUCUACAUUGAGGAGUCUUCAAAUGUUAGUUUGCUCGUGGAAGUCGAGGGUGGGAAUAUUCAUUAAAUAUAGGAAGGUAAGAAUUAAAGUUGAACUGCAAUAAAUCAUAUCCUCCAUUCGCCAUCUUUUAUCAAUGCACUUUCGGAAGGUCUAUGGUGUGUCAAGUAUCUCUGAAAAGAUGAUAUGGGGUCAUCAAAUCAGGCACGGCCAAGUUCCACAAUGGGACAGAGACAGAAAAUGACAGCACUGGGAUGGUCUCACCCGGUGGUGAGUGACGCAUGAAGCAGGA